UACAGGGGGGUGCAAACGUUGCUCGGAAUCAUUGGGCGUAAAGCGCACGUAGGCGGUUCGUUAUGUCGGAUGUGAAAGCCCUUGGCUUAACCGAGGAAGUGCAUCCGAAACUGGCGAGCUAGAGUACGAAAGAGGAUCGCGGAAUUCCCGGUGUAGAGGUGAAAUUCGUAGAUAUCGGGAGGAACACCGGUGGCGAAGGCGGCUCACUGGCCCGGUACUGACGCUGAGGUGCGAAAGCGUGGGGAGCAAACAGG
rnacentral:rRNA from 1 species